GAAGAUAGGCAGACCACGGCGGGUCUUCAGGAGUGGAAUCUGUGGGUGUGCUCAGGGCAGUGGCCGGGCGAUCUUGGAGUUGUGAAGAGAUAGCUGAGCCUUAAGAGGUCAAGAUGCUCCUGUCAUCAGGUGGUUUUCUCUGUGUCUGCCGCAAAGAGUGUCAGGUGAGAAGUCAGUUCUGCAUUGGUGAACUCAUCCUUGGCCUUGUGGGGUCAGGGAACCCCUUCUCAGACACCCCAGUGGCCUGGCACCCCUGUGGCCCAUCCCGGACACCGCGGAUGACUUCCUCUUGGAACUUGCAGAGGCUGAGUAGGAGCUGCAAAUUGGGCCUGUUUGUAGAGGCUUGCUUAUAUGUCAACAUUCUCCAAGUGGGACUCAACAAUAAUAGGUACUAACCAUGGCAAGCAAACCUAUCACUUUUCUGAGCCCGUAUCUAGUAACUCAUCAGGCCUCUUUGAGCUUGAGCCUCCAAUUCUCUCUUCUCCUGAAUUCCUCUUCGGGCCACACAGUCAGCUGGAGAUGGAGCCUGAUCAGCCCCUGGACUCAAGAGGCUGGGCUUUGGGCCACUUUGCUGCAUGAUGUCAGAGUGGUCCACCGCCACGUUAAUGGUUUGGUGUAUUGGCCAGAGAUCUGUCUGUUUGUUUUUAUGGCAGGAUCUCUGAGCGCCUAAUGGUAGGGAUUUUAUGAAAUAUUUUUAGGUUCAGACCCACAGGACCAUUUUUCUUCCUUUAUCUGAGUGCUGGUGUAUAAGAGGAGCUAUAUUAUUGCUUUAAUGCUCUCUUGAAUUGAGCCUCUGGAGAAGUGCCAGGACCAAGUUCGGACACAAGCACAAGUCCUGUUGGAGAGACUUCUAUGCGGGGGGUGGGGAUGCAUCAGCCGCGGAGCCGCCUCUUGGCAGGCGACUGGACCCUCAUUUUCUUUUAAUGCAGUCAAGGCCACUGAGCCCAGGCUCAGAUGGCCUCCCUCCACAUGCUGUUGCUUUCCAGCCAGCAAUUAUUAAUUAUUAUUGUUGAAGUAACAUCGAUUAUUUAUUGAGCACCUACUCAGUGCCAGCGACAGCCAUGCUACUUUACAUAUACACUUUUAUUGAUCACCAAAGUAAUCCAAGUAAUUCUACCGUGUAGGAACCCUUAUUAUCUCUGUUUAUAGAUGAAGGAAACUCAGGUUUAGAAAGUGUAAGUCAUGCUCCCAAGGUCAGGAGGCCAAGGUCUGCUCCACCCUGGUGCCUGCGCUCUAACCGACUCAGCUGCCUUCUGUUCUCAGGCAGGCAGCUUCCCACGUUCUUCCCCGUCUUUCCCAUCCUCUUGUUUAAACCUCCUCUGCAGCAAUACAUUUCCAAAAGCAGCCAGGAGCACAGGACUCAGCCCCCAUGGCCGCUUUCCUGUGGUGUCUUCAU